GUACCUUGGGUGCGACUGGGCGGAGGUGACUUGGAAGUUCGCUUCUCGGACUGUAAUACUCAUCCUUACCUGGCGCCCCGCUCCGAGUUUAGUUGCAUCUGAUCAAACUGAGGUGGUCUGGUAAAAGUAUAAAAAGCAUGGGCUAAAAAAGAAAGAAAAACAACGGGGCGCAGUGGCUCACGCCUGUAAUCCCAGCACUUUGGGAGGCCAAGGUGGGCGGAUCACCCAAGGUCAAGAGUUCGAGUCCACCCUGGCCAAUAUGGCAAAAC
rnacentral:lncRNA from 1 species